rnacentral:rRNA from 1 species
AUUGAACGCUGGCGGCAGGCCUAACACAUGCAAGUCGAGCGGAUGAAGGGAGCUUGCUCCUGGAUUCAGCGGCGGACGGGUGAGUAAUGCCUAGGAAUCUGCCUGGUAGUGGGGGAUAACGUCCGGAAAAGGGCGCUAAUACCGCAUACGUCCUGAGGGAGAAAGUGGGGGAUCUUCGGACCUCACGCUAUCAGAUGAGCCUAGGUCGGAUUAGCUAGUUGGUGGGGUAAAGGCCUACCAAGGCGACGAUCCGUAACUGGUCUGAGAGGAUGAUCAGUCACACUGGAGCUGAGACACGGUCCAGACUCCUACGAGAGGCAGCAGUGGGGAAUAUUGGACAGUGGGCGAAAGCCUUAUACAGCCAUGCCGCGUGUGUGAAGAAAGCCUUCGGAUUGUAAAGCACUUUAUGUUGGGAGGAAGGGCAGUAGGUUAAUACCUAGCUGUUUUGACGUUAACAACAGAAUAAGCACCGGCUAACUACGUG